rnacentral:rRNA from 1 species
AGAGUUUGAUCAUGGCUCAGGAUGAACGCUAGCGACAGGCUUAACACAUGCAAGUCGAGGGGUAACAGGGUAGCAAUACCGCUGACGACCGGCGCACGGGUGAGUAACGCGUAUGCAACCUGCCUAUAACUGGGGAAUAGCUCCCUGAAAGGGGAAUUAACACCGCAUAACACUAUUGAUUCGCAUGGAUUAGUAGUUAAGUGUAGCGAUACAGGUUAUAGAUGGGCAUGCGUGACAUUAGCUAGUUGGUGAGGUAACGGCUCACCAAGGCUACGAUGUCUAGGGGUUCUGAGAGGAAGGUCCCCCACACUGGUACUGAGACACGGACCAGACUCCUACGGGAGGCAGCAGUGAGGAAUAUUGGUCAAUGGGCGCAAGCCUGAACCAGCCAUGUCGCGUGCAGGAAGACUGCCCUAUGGGUUGUAAACUGCUUUUAUAGUAGAAGAAACACAUCUACGUGUAGAUGUCUGCCAGUAUACUAUGAAUAAGCAUCGGCUAACUCCGUGCCAGCAGCCGCGGUAAUACGGAGGAUGCAAGCGUUAUCCGGAUUUAUUGGGUUUAAAGGGUGCGUAGGCGGGACUGUAAGUCAGGGGUGAAAUACUGCAGCUUAACUGUAGCAUUGCCUUUGAAACUGCCGUUCUUGAGUACAGUUGAGGUAGGCGGAAUGUGGUGUGUAGCGGUGAAAUGCAUAGAUAUACCACAGAACGCCGAUUGCGAAGGCAGCUUACUAAGCUGUUACUGACGCUGAGGCACGAAAGCGUGGGGAUCAAACAGGAUUAGAUACCCUGGUAGUCCACGCUGUAAACGAUGAUUACUGGUUGU